AGUCCCGUUGAGUUUCGUUCCAGCUUCUCCUCUUAGAAGCUAUUCUCUUCUCCCUGAAGGGAGGCAACACUGUCCGUUCGCCUGACUGGCAGUGUUUUAAGGACCCAUCGCGCUUGACGGGAAAGUCAGGUACAAGCUGAUGCUGUUAUCACCACAGGAACCAGGGGCUGAGCGGUGAAAUCCAGCUCCUCCCAGCUGGAAGACACUAGGGUGAACGGAGAUAAAAGCAGUUCUCUUUACCCGAAGUUUCUUUCUUUUUCAUGCCACUUCAAAUUUGGAUUAAAAAUCAAGAAAUAUAAACCAGAUGUAGCAGUUUCUUGACAUGGAGAACCAAGCCCAUAAUACGAUGGGAACUUCUCCUUGUGAGGCUGAGCUUCAGGAAUUAAUGGAACAAAUUGACAUCAUGGUAAGCAACAAGAAAAUGGAUUGGGAAAGAAAGAUGCGGGCUUUGGAGACACGAUUAGAUCUUCGGGAUCAAGAAUUGGCAAAUGCACAAACUUGUUUGGAUCAGAAAGGUCAAGAGGUAGGGUUACUUCGACAGAAAUUGGACAGUCUGGAAAAAUGUAAUUUAGCAAUGACUCAGAAUUAUGAAGGACAACUACAAAGCCUAAAGGCUCAAUUUUCCAAACUAACAAAUAACUUUGAAAAACUGAGAUUACAUCAGAUGAAACAAAACAAAGUUCCACAAAAAGAAUUACGACACCUUAAAGAAGAAAUACCCUUUGAACUGAGCAAUUUGAACCAGAAAUUAGAGGAAUUUAGAGCAAAGUCAAGAGAAUGGGACAAGCAAGAGAUAUUAUAUCAGACUCAUCUGAUUUCUUUAGAUGCUCAACAAAAAUUAUUAUCUGAGAAGUGUAAUCAGUUUCAGAAACAGGCACAAAGUUACCAAACUCAACUAAAUGGUAAAAAACAGUGCUUAGAAGACAGCAGCUCUGAAAUUCCUCGUUUGAUAUGUGACCCAGAUCCCAAUUGUGAAAUCAAUGAAAGAGAUGAGUUCAUUAUUGAAAAACUGAAAUCAGCUGUAAAUGAGAUAGCACUAAGCAGAAAUAAAUUACAAGAUGAAAAUCAGAAGCUCUUGCAAGAACUGAAAAUGUACCAAAGACAGUGCCAGGCCAUGGAAGCAGGUCUCUCAGAGGUAAAAAGUGAGUUACAGUCACGUGAUGAUCUCUUGAGAAUUAUAGAAAUGGAACGAUUGCAAUUACACAGAGAAUUAUUAAAAAUAGGAGAGUGCCAAAAUGCUCAAGGAAAUAAAACAAGACUUGAAUCAUCUUAUUUGCCUUCUAUUAAAGAACCAGAAAGGAAAAUAAAAGAGCUGUUUUCAGUGAUGCAAGAUCAACCAAAUCAUGAAAAAGAAUUGAACAAGAUAAGAAACCAACUCCAACAGGUGGAAGAGUACCAUAACUCUGAGCAGGAAAGAAUGAGGAAUGAAAUCUCUGACCUAACAGAAGAGCUUCAUCAGAAGGAGAUCACUAUAGCAACUGUCACAAAGAAAGCUGCCCUUCUGGAAAAACAGUUAAAAAUGGAAUUAGAAAUAAAAGAAAAAAUGUUAGCAAAACAAAAGGUCUCAGAUAUGAAAUAUAAAGCUGUCAGAACUGAAAACACACAUCUAAAAGGAAUGAUGGGAGAUUUAGACCCCGGACGAUACAUGAGUAUGGACCUCACUAACAGGGAACAGUCAAGGCAUACAUCUAUUAAUAAACUGCAAUAUGAGAAUGAAAGGCUCCGAAAUGAUCUUGCAAAACUUCAUGUCAAUGGAAAAUCAACCUGGACUAAUCAAAACACCUAUGAAGAAACAGGAAGAUAUGCCUAUCAAAGCCAAAUAAAAGUGGAAAAAAAUGAAGAGAGACUUAGUCAUGACUGUGAGCCAAACAGAAGUACAACGCCUCCCUUGCCACCUUUGACAUUUCAAGCCAAAGAAAUGACAAGUCCUUUGGUUAGUGAUGAUGAUGUAUUCCCACUGAUCCAUGUAUUCUACCCAUUGGAAACACAGAACCAUAAAACAGCCAUCGGUUUAAAGUCUAUACCACAUCCUGAAGAAUGGCACCCCAACCUCACAGGAUAUAAUCUCCAAGCUGGUGCCUCAGCUUUGCCCUCAAGAGGCCGUCUCAAAGCUCUAUCAUGUUAGCGUCCUCUGGAUAGUGCUGUGUGUGGUUAGGACCAGUGGAUACCAUGGUCCUGCCCCCACUGCCAUACUCUUUUGCUAUAAAUCUCCCCCAGAUAUGUCCUUCCCAGCAUCUUUGGCUGCACAGCAUUUCCUUCUGGAAGAAGAGAAACGAGCAAAAGAACUUGAAAAACUUCUAAAUACACAUAUUGAUGAACUGCAAAGACACACAGAAUUUACUCUUAAUAAAUACUCCAAGCUAAAACAAAAUAGACACAUAUGAGCUUUUAAACUUUUUUAUUUGCUUCCCCCCCGCCCCUGCCAAGAAAAAAAGCUCUGGCAAAAUAUUUACAAAGCUGAUUAAUGAAACCAAGAAAUUCUGUUCUGUUUCCUUGAGUAAAUAAUUUCCGUAAGGCAGCUAGAAAAUAGUAAGUAUUUUGUUCUAUAAAGCUGUUUGCAUUUCUGCAUUAACAUGCUAAAUUGUCCUGCUGUAGAGUUACUAUAAAAUAAACAUGACUAUUCCAAAAGAGAUUUUUUUCCAGUCUAAGGAAUAUUUUGGAAUCAAAUAUGCAGUUUUUUUUCCCCACUUGAAUCAUGUAUACUGAAAACCCAUUUCCUCGGCAACUACACAAAAUAAGAGAAAGGGAAGUGCUAUAUUCCAGAUACAAAUGACUCAAAGGCAGCUCAGUUGUACUGGUUUUGAAAACUCAAGGAUUUUAUAAAUAAAAAUAUUUAAGUAUUUCCAGUUAUGUAAACACUCUAAAAUUCUAUAAUUUUUGGGGGAAAAAAAGCUAUAGCUUUAUUGUUUUUACAUUCACCUUUAUAAUGUCUGUCUGUUUCAACACAAUGAAGAUAUAUGGAAUGUGCAAUUUACAAACCUAAAAUAUAUGUGCCAAAAAUUAACGCUUUUUUGUUAGUACUAAUGACUUCAUGGACACGAACAAGAUAAAGGAAAUAUAAAGCAUUACUGUUGCUACAUUUUCCUUUGUAAUCACUUCUGUUUUUAAUACAAUAAAGGAAUGUAAAAUUCAA